CAGGUAGUGAAUGGCUCGGUUCGAGAAGCCGACGAAGGACGUGGCAAGCUGCGAUAAGCUUGGGCGAGGCGCAUGCAGCCUUUGAGCCCAAGAUUUCCGAAUGCGACUUCGUGACCUGUUUCGACAGGUCAUGCCGAGAGGCAAGGCACACGCGGUGAACUGAAACAUCUUAGUAGCCGCAGGAAAAGAAAUCAACCGAGAUUCCCUUAGUAGCGGCGAGCGGAAGGGGAAUACGCGCAAACUGAACGCAGCUCCGAGAGGAACUGUGGAUGUGGGUUUGGCCGUCUUUGGAACCACGCUUCCUAAUCGAAGUCUGCUGGAAAGCAGCACCGUAGAGAGUGAUAGUCUCGUAGACUAUGGAAGUACCGUUCUUAGACGUGCCGAGAGUAGCAUGGGUUGGAAAUCCUGUGCGAACACGGGAGGCACUACGUCUUCCAACGCUAAAUACUUCUCGAGUCCGAUAGCGCACUAAGUACUGUGAAGGAAAGCUGAAAAGCACCCCUAGAAAGGGGUUGAAAAGAGCCUGAAACUAUCUGGUGGUAGGUUAGAUAAGGCGUGAAAGCUUCGAUACCUCUCAACGAACUCUGCGAGAGCAUUUAGUAGGACGAGGUGGAGCAACGUCUUAUCAUCCGUUUUGAAAAACGGGGCAGGGAGUUUGUCGCCGUGGCAAGGCUAACUCGUGUUUCGCGAGGGAGUCAUAGGGAAACCAAGAAGCCCGCAGCGCUUUGCGUGAGGGGCCGCGUGUUAACUCGCGUGAAGUCACCGCGACAUGAUCCGAAACCGGUCGAUCCUGGCCUGGCUAGGUUGAAGCGGCGCGAAAGCUCCGUGGAGGACCGUACCGCUGCUGCGAUGCAAGCGCUCGGAUAAGCUAGGUCAAGGGGUGAAAUGUCAAUCGAGAUCGGUGAUGGCUGGUUCUUCUCGAAAUAGAUCGAAGUCUAGCCUCAGGCGAGACGGCUCACGAGGUAAAGCCACUGAUUCUGGGUUCCUGAGCUCGCGCUCAGGUCCGGAGUCAAACUCUGAACUCUUGAGCAUUGUAGACCCUGGGAGCGAGGGGCGGUGCGUAAGGUACCGUUCCGAGAGGGAAACAACCCAGAGCAAGGUUAAGGCCCCUAAUUCCUGACUAAGUGCCUGUUGAAGGGAGUCACGGUUCUCAGACAGCGGGGAGGUUAGCUUAGAAGCAGCUACCCUUUAAAGAUAGCGUAACAGCUCACCCGUUGAGAGCUGUGGCACCUAAAAUGGACGGGGCUCAAGUCAGGAGCCGAGACCUUGCCAUCGACAUUCGUCGAUGGAUAGAGAAGCGAUCCGCGUGGACAGAAGCAUGGCCGUGAGGUCGUGUGGACCGCGUGGAUACGAAAAUCCUGCCGGCAGUACCAGCGACAGAUAGGUGCGAAUCCUAUCCGCCGAAAGAGGAAGGGUUCCUCAGCAAUGAUUAUCAGCUGAGGGUUAGUCGGCCCUAAGUCCACUCCUAAUUGGACGUGGACGAACAGGUAAUCAGGUUAAUAUUCCUGAACCUCCUCACAUUACUGACGUCUCGGGAUAGUGGAAGCUGCGCCAUCGCGCAGUCCAAGCAGUUGAUGCGUGCGAGCGUAAUGCCUCGACCACGUGAAGCUGUUAUGGGUCUGGGAAUAAUCCCGGAUUUCCACGAUUCCUGGGACCUUUGAAAAAGUGUGAGAGACCGUACCAAGAACCAGCACAGGUCCUCAGGCUUCGUAGGCUAAGGCGUCUCGGGUAUAAACUCGGCUUAGGGAAUUCGGCAAGUUAGCCCCGUACGUUCGCAAGAUGGGGUACCUAUCGUCUCGAUACGAUAGGUUUCAAUAACUAGGCCUGCUCGACUGUUUACUAAAAACAUAGCCGACUGCUAGUCCGAAAGGAUUUGUAUAGUCGGCGACUCUUGCCCAGUGCCAGCACCUGAAACCUCCGUUCAGGGAGAAGAAGGGCUGGUAAACGGCGGCGGUAACUAUGACCGUCUUAAGGUAGCGUAGUCCCUUGCCAACUAAUUGUUGGCCCGCAUCAAUAGAGCAACGAGGUAGGCACUGUCCCAAGCCGUGGCCCGGUGAACCCACCGUACCGGCGCAUAGGCCGGUGACUUCUAGUGGGAAGCGAAGACCCUGUGAACCUUUACUGCAGUCUGUCGUUGCUGCGGGGGUCCAAGUGUGAAGUGUAGUUAGGAGACGUUACAGAGACGCAUGCGCUAGCAUGUCGCCCAGUCGACCAUGGGACACUAACCUCUUGGAACCCCGCGGCUUACCUCUACGGAGGGACAGCCGCAGCUGGGCAGUUUAACUGGGGCGGUAUCCAUCUGAUAAUAAAUCAGAUGGGUCCAAAGGUAGGCUCAGUCCGGUCAGAACUCGGACGUAGAGUACAAGGAUAAAAGCCUGCCUGACUGGUUCCUUAUCAGUACGAGAACCAGGCGCGAAAGCGUGGCCUAGCGAACCCCUGUGGCCAAGUAGUGAGGCCCAGGUAUGACAGAAAAGGUACUCCAGGGAUAACUGGAUUGUCUAGGGCGCGAGCUCACAUCGACCCCUAGGCUUGUUACUUCGAUGUCGGCUCUCCGUAUCCUGGCUGUGCAACAGCAGCCAAGGGUGGGGGUGUUCACCCAUUAAAACGGAUCGUGAGCUGGGUUUAGAUCGUCGUGAGACAGAUCUGUUGCUAUCUGCUAGAAGUGUUUUCGUGGUCUGAGAGGAAAGUCCGGACAGUACGAAAGGAACCCUGGACUGGAGCCUCUGGUGUAUCUGUUAUCCGAGAGGGUAGUGCAGAGUAGCCACGCUCCACAGGUGUAAGAGCUGAAAGCAUCUAAGCUCGAAAGCUUCCUCAAAAAGAGACCGCGUCCACUCCUGUAGAAGACGGGUUUGAUAGAGUGGCGGUGUACGCGCCAAGGCAACGAGGCGUUCAGCCGACCACUACUAA
rnacentral:rRNA from 1 species